UGGUCCAGUGGUGAUUGGCGCUGGACUUGGUAGGGAGAACCACGGUUCGAUCCCCCGCAACUGCGAUCGGGAGGGGGAUGGAACCACUUGAUGCCAGAACUCGCCCCCAAACCGGACUAAACCGGUGCUAUAAAGAAAAAAAAGAAAAAGUCACACUUCGCUUGCUUAAAAUACAAAAUCAGAAAUUCACAAGUUUCAAUCUCAGCCCUCUAUUCAAAUUAAUCAAUGGUCUAAAAUACUCAAGAGCCUUUCACUUGGAUCACCAAAGUUCCUCACACGGUUUGCACAAUUUCACUCUCAACUUUUACAAAUUUUCCCUCUCUUUUGCUCACACAAUCCUCACCUCUCAUGCCUAUAAAAACAAGCUCAGAUCACAGAAGAAAGGAGAGGAAGAAAAGCGUGAAAACUCUGCUAAAAUUGAUUUCAGUCUUCCUCCAAAAUUCAACAACCCUGCUCAUCCUUCAUCCAUCACCAUAACCUGCUCAUCCUUCAUCUUUUUCAUACAUACAAACAAUCCUCCAAAACUGUCAAAACCGAUUCACUAUAACUCACUUGAUUUAACUUCAUAAACCAUCUAUCUGCAACCUUCAUUUUCAUCAUCACCUGCAACAACAACACGACUCCAGCAACCACGCUGAACAUCGCCGCAAUUUAACUCUGUGUCUUUAAUGCACAAAAUCAUCACCAUCGGAAAAACGAAUAUGCAAUUUCUCCGACGAACCUCACACUAUCGCAACGACAUACCUGCAAACAACAACGCACGGAAAUUAACAGAAGCACCAUUCUAAAUCAGCAACACGGUGCACAAUCAACCUGAAGGCAGAGCUCCGAUUUAUUUUCGAAGAAGAAGGAGCGGAGCACGUUUGUUACCUCUGGUUUUCUUGGUUGUCGGUGUCGGUGUUAAGAUUCUCGGACUAGCUCUAAGCUUGUUCUGGAGUUUAGUAGCUCGUGCGUGAUCUAGCCGGAGUUUUCUUUCCGUGUUUGUUGGAGAUUAGGUAGUGAGUCGAUGCUCUGGUCAUGUAACACUUGGUAGACUAGUCGUGUUGAACUCAUGUUUCUAUUUGGUUAUGUAUUAUGUUAUGACUCGAGAACCUGUUUAUUUGGCUACUUGUUAUUGAGAGGCUUUUAAGCCAAAUAUUCUGAUUAUGGUUUAAUUUAUGUUAAGAUGAUUAUUGAGAUA